rfam:Bombyx mori DNA, contig: Bm_scaf47_contig25473, strain: p50T/Dazao, build 2, whole genome shotgun sequence.
UUAACUCAAAUUUGUAUGGAGUUAGAACGUUUGCAUACGUUUGCCGCUGGGGGCGCUGUUCCAACUCCAUACAAAUUUGAGUUA